GGCCGCCAGCGGAGGAACAUGUGGUUUAAUUCGAUGCAUACGCGAGGAACCUUACCCGGGCUCAAACGGCACAGGAAUAUCUUUGAAAGGAGGUAGUCUACGGACCUGUGCCGAGGUGCUGCAUGGUUGUCGUCAGCUCGUGCCGUGAGGUGUCGGCUUAAGUGCCAUAACGAGCGCAACCCCUACCGACAGUUGCUAACUGGUNAAGCAGAGGACUCUGUCGGGACUGCCGGCGCAAGCUGCGAGGAAGGCGGGGUAUGACGUCAAAUCAGCACGGCCCUUACGUCCGGGGCGACACACGUGUUACAAUGGCAGGCACAGCGGGAAGCCGCACGGCGACGUGUAGCGGAACCCGAAAUCCUGUCUCAGUUCGGAUUGGAGUCUGCAACCCGACUCCAUGGAAGCUGGAUUCGCUAGUAAUCGCGCAUCAGCCAUGGCGCGGUGAAUACGUUCCCGGGCCUUGUACACACCGCCCGU
rnacentral:rRNA from 1 species